rnacentral:rRNA from 1 species
UACGAAGGGAGCUAGCGUUGUUCGGAAUCACUGGGCGUAAAGCGCACGUAGGCGGAUUUGCCAGUCAGGGGUGAAAUCCCGGGGCUCAACCUCGGAACUGCCUUUGAUACAGCAAGUCUCGAGUUCGAGAGAGGUGGGUGGAAUUCCUAGUGUAGAGGUGAAAUUCGUAGAUAUUAGGAAGAACACCGGUGGCGAAGGCGGCCCACUGGCUCGACACUGACGCUGAGGUGCGAAAGCGUGGGGAGCAAACAGG